rnacentral:rRNA from 1 species
UGGGGAAUAUUGGACAAUGGGCGGAAGCCUGAUCCAGCCAUGCCGCGUGUGUGAAGAAGGCCUUUUGGUUGUAAAGCACUUUAAGCGAGGAGGAGGCUCCUUUAGUUAAUACCUAAAGUGAGUGGACGUUACUCGCAGAAUAAGCACCGGCUAACUCUGUGCCAGCAGCCGCGGUAAUACAGAGGGUGCGAGCGUUAAUCGGAUUUACUGGGCGUAAAGCGUGCGUAGGCGGCUUUUUAAGUCGGAUGUGAAAUCCCUGAGCUUAACUUAGGAAUUGCAUUCGAUACUGGAAAGCUAGAGUAUGGGAGAGGAUGGUAGAAUUCCAGGUGUAGCGGUGAAAUGCGUAGAGAUCUGGAGGAAUACCGAUGGCGAAGGCAGCCAUCUGGCCUAAUACUGACGCUGAGGUACGAAAGCAUGGGGAGCAAACA